rnacentral:rRNA from 1 species
GGGUUUUGAAGAGUUUCAAAGCCUUCAGAUUCGCGGGAUUGGGAUCUCUUGGUGUACUUUUUCGUCCGGUUAGUCAACAUCGGUUUUGAAUGUCAUAAAAUGACUGGAGGAAUGUAGCUUCGAUCUCGUAUUGAAGUGUUAUAGCCUUUGGUAGAUGUGAUGUUUGAGACCGAGGAUUGCAACGGAGACCCUUCAGGGCUAUUCGGCUGAUCUCUGAUAAGUUGCCUUGAUGGUGAAAGCUUGCUUAGGAUGUUAGGGUAUUACGGUCAAAAGGUUAGAACGGAUUAGA